rnacentral:lncRNA from 1 species
CUUGAUGCUAACUUUGUUUCCUGGGGAGCAAUUGCAGAUAGAGAUGAAGGUCUACAAAUGAGUGCAACUCUUCGCCCGGCUUGCUUUCCAUUCUGUGCUGUUAUAGCUCCUGUUGCUGGUGAUAACAUAGCAGUGAUGCAGCAGGUUAACUGAAACCUAAACUUGAAGGAUUUUAAUUAGCAACUUCAUAAAUGAAUCAUCCAUUAGUUCUAAAUUUAUUGUUGAAUGCCAAAAGUUUCAUUCGUCAAUGAUUGUAUUAACAAAACUUAUCUUGAGACGUUAUUGUGUCAGUAUUUCAAGCCAAUUACUUACUAUCAUGUGAAUAAAGUUAAAACAUAUCAUAUAUAGUGCAUGAUUGACUUGAGAUACCGCCACAGGGGCCCUCCCUUCGUAGGUGAGUCUCUUCAGUAACAACAACAGUUUCAGCUUCCAAUACUAACGAUAAGGGUACUAUCUUCAACUUUCUUUAUUUUCUUAUUUGUUAUUUCUUUGUCCAUGUUUAGAUGGAAGGGCCAAUUUCCCCAACCGAGCUGGUGGGGAUUCUGCAGCGGACGCUGGAGGAACAAGGGCUGGCGUUUCGCAGUUUGAAGGCCAAGAAGGCAGAAAAAAUAAUAGCAGACCGCCGUCUGAGGGAAGAACAAGAUGCAGCAUAUCUUGCAGCUAUACAAAUAGACAAGGUUUGUUUACACUUCGUUUUGUAAUAAAGGAAAUUUUUUAGCGACACCCCUGAACUUAAGGCCUUACUUUUAUUUUCGACUUGAACUUUCGUUCAAGCGGGGAAACUAAUAGAAAAAUGUGAUAGAUUUUACGAUAUAAGGAAAAUUGACACGUUUUAAAAUUUAAUGGAGUUCAAAACCAAUUAGAAGGUCGAGAGUAACUCAUACUCUUGCCUACUUGCAGCAAAAGGAGAGACUAAAGAAUGUACCUCCACCUGUUCGACCUCAAAAACCAGCAGAAGCCCCAAACAAAGCAAAUCAUGAGAGGCUUCAAAACCAUUCUGCCCAAAAACAGCAUGGAAAAACUAGAGAGGCUUC